rnacentral:rRNA from 1 species
AGGAUGUGGGAUUUCGAAGACAACUAGGAUGUUGGCUUAGAAGCAGCCAUACAUUUAAAGAGUGCGUAACAGCUCACUAGUCGAGAAAACCUGCGCCGAAAAUAAACGGGGCUAAAACAUACCACCGAAGCUACGGAUUUCCUAUGGAAGUAGGAAGUGGUAGAGGAGCAUAGUGCAGUAGGAAGAAGUCAAAGCGAAAGCGAUGAUGGACGAGGCAGUAGAGAGAAUGCCGGAAUGAGUAGCGAGAUAGAAGAAAGAAACUUCUAGGCCGAAUAUCUAAGGAUUCCUGGGUAAAGCUAAACUUCCCAGGGUAAGUCGGGACCUAAGGCGAGGACGAAAGUCGUAGUCGAUGGAUAACUGGUAGAGAUUCCAGUACUACAAAUAAUCAGAACUGUGGGGACGCAGGAGGAUAAGUAAACCGGGGAGAGGAAAGACCCGGUCAAGCAUAAAGGCAUGGUAAAUAGGAAAAACCGUUUAUCUAAGCUGAAAUGUGAAGAGGACUGAAAAAGAGUAAGGAAGUUACUGAAUCCACACUGUCGAGAAAAGCCGCUAUAGCGUUAUUUGUACCCGUACCGUAAACCGACACAGGUAGAUGAGGAGAAAAUCCACAGGCUGACGGGAGAAGUGUUGUUAAGGAACUCGGCAAAAUGACCCCGUAACUUAGGGAAAAGGGGAACCAACGAGAGUUGGUCGCAGAAAAGAGGCUCAAGCGACUGUUUAGCAAAAACACAGGUCUCUGCGAAACCGAAAGGUGAAGUAUAGGGGCUGACACCUGCCCGGUGCUGGAAGGUUAAAAGGAGAGGUAAGGCGCAAGCUGAAGCUUUGAAUUCAAGCCCCAGUAAACGGCGGCCGUAACUAUAACGGUCCUAAGGUAGCGAAAUUCCUUGUCAGGUAAGUUCUGACCCGCACGAAAGGUGUAACGAUUUGAGCACUGUCUCGACAACACGCCCGGUGAAAUUGAAGAACCAGUGAAGAUACUGGUUACCCGCAACAGGACGGAAAGACCCCAUGGAGCUUUACUGCAGCCUGAUACUGGGAUUCGAUGAUAUAUGUACAGGAUAGGAGGGAGGCUGAGAAGCCAGGACGCCAGUCUUGGUGGAGCCGCCGGUGGGAUACCUCUCUUAUGUCAUUGGGUUUCUAACCAGUACCCAUUAUCUGGGUAUGGGACAAUGUCAGGCGGGCAGUUUGACUGGGGCGGUCGCCUCCUAAAAGGUAACGGAGGCGCUCGAAGGUCACCUCAGAAUGAUUGGAAACCAUUCAAAGAGUGUAAAGGCAAAAGGUGGCUUGACUGCGACACCGACGGGUGGAGCAGGUACGAAAGUAGGACUUAGUGAUC